rnacentral:rRNA from 1 species
UGCGUAGGCGGGUCUUUAAGUCAGGGGUGAAAUCCUGGAGCUCAACUCCAGAACUGCCUUUGAUACUGAAGAUCUUGAGUUCGGGAGAGGUGAGUGGAACUGCGAGUGUAGAGGUGAAAUUCGUAGAUAUUCGCAAGAACACCAGUGGCGAAGGCGGCUCACUGGCCCGAUACUGACGCUGAGGCACGAAAGCGGUGGGGAGCAAACA